GACGAACGCUGGCGGCAUGCCUAAUACAUGCAAGUCGAGCGAACAGAUGAAGUGCUUGCACUUCUGACGUUAGCGGCGAACGGGUGAGUAACACGCAAGGAAUCUACCUAUAAGCGGGGGAUAACAUUCGGAAACGGGUGCUAAUACCGCAUAAUAUCUUCUUCCGCAUGGAAGAAGAUUGAAAGACGGCUCUGCUGUCACUUAUAGAUGACCUUGCGGUGCAUUAGUUAGUUGGUGGGGUAAUGGCCUACCAAGACGAUGAUGCAUAGCCGACCUGAGAGGGUGAUCGGCCACAUUGGGACUGAGACACGGCCCAAACUCCUACGGGAGGCAGCAGUAGGGAAUCUUCCGCAAUGGGCGAAAGCCUGACGGAGCAAUGCCGCGUGAGUGAAGAAGGCCUUCGGGUCGUAAAACUCUGCUAUAAGAGAAGAACAAAUUGUAGAGUAACUGCUACAGUCUUGACGGUAUCUUAUCAGAAAGCCACGGCUAACCACGUGCCAGCCGCCGCAGUAA
rnacentral:rRNA from 1 species